AGGGGGGUAUGGCGGAAUUGGUAGACGCUACGGACUUAAAAUCCGUUGGCUUUAUUGACCAUGAGGGUUCAAGUCCCUCUACCCCCA
rnacentral:tRNA from 2 species